UAAUCUGCCAUUCACGUCUUUCCUUUCCUUCUUCUCCAAUUUCCUGUGUCUCUUCCCUGAUUCAAAUUCAACUAUUCUUAUCCAUAAUCUCCGUUCAAUCGACGCACACACGAGCUCACUGAUUGUUUUUUCAAUUGUGUUCUUUUUGUGCUUCAGAGUCAUUUUAUACUGUGAAGAGAGCUGUGCCAUGGAGUGAUAAGGAGCCGAAGAUGGGGUUAGCAUGGAGCCGAAGAAAGGCGAAGGAUCAAUCUAAAGCCAGCCAACCUUCCAAAAAGAAAAAUCCUCCAAAGCUUAUCUCCUUCUAGGUCUCCUGCUCCUACUAGAUCUGUCAACCAUCAGUCUUGAGUGUGCCUCCAGUCCACUAAGAGAACCGGAAGACAAGAAGUGAGACUGGUCAUGGUCUACUUGCAAGGAAAUUCGUUAGACUAACGAGAUUGAAGAAUCUCAUGAAGAACGAAGAAAACAAGGGCUGCAACAACCCAUAAAUGGAGAGUGACUGACAAGUGUGGAAACUUGGAAAGAGAAGAACCUUACUUUUCCUCUGAAGGAGAAGAGGAAAAGAGAGCAUGGUCUGGCUAGCAGGGGAAAGAAUUCUGUACUUGAAGAAGAAACGAUGUUGUUAAGGAAGAGUGGCCUCGAUUCUGGUUUUGAUACUUGAUCCCUUUUGCUUGUAGUCAUGACCCAUGAGUUUCUUAAUGUAAAAUAUGUAAAAGCUCAUUUCUAUAUGGUCAUUAUUGCAUUGAAAAGAUUGGAUUGUGACCUAUAGUAGCAAUUCUAAGAUGACUUUUGAAGCA